GAUGAACGCUGGCGGCGUGCCUAAUACAUGCAAGUCGAGCGAAAAGACGAGGAGUUUGCUCCCCUGACGUUAGCGCCGGACGGGUGAGUACCACGUGGUUAACCUACCAAUAAGACUGGGAUACUUUCGGGAAACGGGAGCUAAUACCGGAAAAUUUAUUGAACCGCAUGGUUCAAUAGUGAAAGACGGUUUUGCUGUCACUAAUAGAUGGAUCCGCGCCGCAUUAGCUAGUUGGUAAGGUAACGGCUUACCAAGGCAACGAUGCGUAGCCGACCUGAGAGGGUGAUCGGCCACACUGGAACUGAGACACGGUCCAGACUCCUACGGGAGGCAGCAGUAGGGAAUCUUCCGCAAUGGGCGAAAGCCUGACGGAGCAACGCCGCGUGAGUGAUGAAGGUCUUCGGAUCGUAAAACUCUGUUAUUAGGGAAGAACAAAUGUGUAAGUAACUAUGCACGUCUUGACGGUACCUAAUCAGAAAGCCACGGCUAACUACGUG
rnacentral:rRNA from 1 species